UGCUGAAAAGUUUAACCUGUUGGCACGUGAAGUGACGUCAGAAUGACGUCACAUUGUCGCGGAAGAUUUGUUGUCACCAGCCAUCUUAGUUCAAGCUCACUCUAGACAUAGUAGAAGUCUACAACCAAGAGAUUGUGCAGCAACUGGAACUGGACAGAUGAUCUGUGAAUUCGGAUGAGAGCUGUUUCAACUUCGUCUGGUAUUGUAUAAGCUAUUGCAUUUUGUUAAUUUUCCCAUGUUUCUAUCUUUGUAAAUAUUAGAAAAAUAGAUUCUAUAUAAAUAUCCUGGCAUAUUAAUGUUAGUAUUAAAAAAAAUAAUCACAAUUUUAAUUAGGAUAAACACCCCAAAGUGUUAACACUUCUAUUCAUAAUUCAUAUUCAACAUUCAUGCUUCAAAUAUGGGAACUAUUUAUUUUAUUUGGCAAUAUAUAUUUUUCAUUUAUGUAUAUGUUUUUCAAAUAAGGUUUUAGAAACUUGGCCAACAUAUUCACUUGAAUCACUAGUUUGUGAUGUACAGCAGAAAGGUAAAUUUACUGCUUUGGAAUAACUACAGUUGAUCUAUUGACUGAUAAAACUAUUUGCCAAUACUACCACCUGUUACAUCAUACUCUAAGUAAAUGUGAUUUAUCUAUACAGUACUGGUUUAUUUAAAAAUGUGAUACUUUGUGGUUUCUGUUUUUCUUUCAGGUGGAGAAAACAGUAUUGUGGGAGCAUAUUUGUUUAAAGUACAUCACUGACAGAAAGUUACAAAAGGCUUAAGGAGAGAGUAUGGAUACAGUUGAAGAUCAUCCCUGUGACUUUUCAUUUGAGGACUGAAAAGGCUCCUCAGCCACUCAGCCCAAGUUCUGACUUGUCAUUUAAUAAAUAAAAAAAGGUCACCUCAACCAGAAUUCUAUUGUCAUUUCGUUGCUGGGAAAUGGAUCUUAGGACAUCAGAUGCAUAGGCUAUUCUGUUUGUCACAGUGUUGCUCUCAAUGCUGAAUGUAUGGGGUAAGGCCAAUAAAAUUUAUAAAUGUUUCAA